CUAUGGAUGAAAGCGGGGGAUCGCAAGACCUCGCGCGAUUGGAGCGGCCGAUGUCAGAUUAGCUAGUUGGUGGGGUAAAGGCCCACCAAGGCGACGAUCUGUAGCUGGUCUGAGAGGACGACCAGCCACACUGGGACUGAGACACGGCCCAGACUCCUACGGGAGGCAGCAGUGGGGAAUUUUGGACAAUGGGCGCAAGCCUGAUCCAGCAAUGCCGCGUGCAGGAAGAAGGCCUUCGGGUUGUAAACUGCUUUUGUACGGAACGAAAAGGUCUGGGUUAAUACCCUGGGCUCAUGACGGUACCGUAAGAAUAAGCACCGGCUAACUACGUGCCAGCAGCCGCGGUAAUA
rnacentral:rRNA from 1 species